rnacentral:rRNA from 1 species
AGUGAACGCUGGCGGUAGGCCUAACACAUGCAAGUCGAACGGCAGCACAGUAAGAGCUUGCUCUUACGGGUGGCGAGUGGCGGACGGGUGAGGAAUACAUCGGAAUCUACUUUUUCGUGGGGGAUAGCGUAGGGAAACUUACGCUAAUACCGCAUACGACCUACGGGUGAAAGCAGGGGAUCUUCGGACCUUGCGCGAUUGAAUGAGCCGAUGUCGGAUUAGCUAGUUGGCGGGGUAAAGGCCCACCAAGGCGACGAUCCGUAGCUGGUCUGAGAGGAUGAUCAGCCACACUGGAACUGAGACACGGUCCAGACUCCUACGGGAGGCAGCAGUGGGGAAUAUUGGACAAUGGGCGCAAGCCUGAUCCAGCCAUGCCGCGUGUGUGAAGAAGGCCUUCGGGUUGUAAAGCCCUUUUGUUGGGAAAGAAAAGCAGCAGGUUAAUACCCCGCUGUUCUGACGGUACCCAAAGAAUAAGCACCGGCUAACUUCGUG